rnacentral:rRNA from 1 species
AUGAACGCUGGCGGCGUGCCUAAUACCUGCAAGUCGAGCGCACAGACGAGGAGCUUGCUCCUCUGACGUUAGCGGCGGACGGGUGAGUAACACGUGGAUAACCUACCUAUAAGACUGGGAUAACUUCGGGAAACCGGAGCUAAUACCGGAUAAUAUAUUGAACCGCAUGGUUCAAUAGUGAAAGACGGUUUUGCUGUCACUUAUAGAUGGAUCCGCGCCGCAUUAGCUAGUUGGUAAGGUAACGGCUUACCAAGGCAACGAUGCGUAGCUGACCUGAGAGGGUGAUCGGCCACACUGGAACUGAGACACGGUCCAGACUCCUACGGGAGGCAGCAGUAGGGAAUCUUCCGCAAUGGGCGAAAGCCUGACGGAGCAACGCCGCGUGAGUGAUGAAGGUCUUCGGAUCGUAAAACUCUGUUAUUAGGGAAGAACAAAUGUGUAAGUAACUAUGCACGUCUUGACGGUACCUAAUCAGAAAGCCACGGCUAACUACGUG